ensembl:lncRNA
GCAAAGUGAUGUUGUCCAGAGUGGUCAAUAUUGUUUUUGUUUUUCAUUUUUCUCUACCCGGAAGUGGCUUUAAACAUGUCAGCUCCUCCGGAAGUGGAGAAGAACGCCCGGUUGUCGCAUUGAAGAGCACCUUGUGUGCUUCUGGGGCUGCAUUUUCAGAGUGCUACUGACUACCUGCAGUGCAGGGCACCUGGGGCCAGGGCAGCUGAGGGUAUCUGUUCUCUCCUCUUCCCUUUGGGGGAAAUCAGCAGAGCACAGCUUUGACUGGGCUGAAAGAGCACUGAAUCCAGGAAAGACCAUCUGAAUGAAAGUCCGACUCUGCCUGACACAAGUGCCCUUCCUUGGACAGCCCUAUUGGCUCUUCCACAACGAGGAGUUCCCGUGGCUCAAGUAACAAUUUCACGGAUUCGAGGAAGAUGAUCACAAGAGAGAAAGUUUCUUUCUGGAGCACUUGCCUGGGAAAUGAGAACAAGCCAUCUGUUUGUGCCCAUUUCCUGCCAGAGGGAUGGCGCCCAGGUAUGGAAGAUCAAAGCCCAACUGUGUGAGGAAGUAAAGACAGCUGUUAUCAAACAGCCUCCAAGAUGAGCAGACUACAUUCCAACUAUUGCCAUUUCCUGGAUCUCUACCUUAAUUCCUGCCAAGUCUGUCCAUAACAAUACCCAGACACAAGGACUUUUUCCCUAUUUAUAUUCAAAGCUACAGUAAAGUGAAGGUGUUUUCCAACAAAAACAAACACCAAAACACCCAUGAACACCUUCUUUUUCAUUUUUGUUCAUGGUUAAUUUCUACAAAAUAAUGCUCAAGACAGCAUUACGUCUCCCCCUCCUGUGUAAAUGGCAUGUUUGACAGCAUAAACUUUUAAAGCCCUUUCUGAACUUGAUUCUCAAAAAUGCUGUGUUGGUCAUUGGAAUAGAAACUUACUAAUUUUCCCCCAUCAGAAAGGAUUAGGUAGUUUCAUUUGAAUAAAAUAGUGCUGAGUCUCAUCGGAUAUAGACCCAUCUCCUUUGAGCUUCUAUUCCGAAAGCUGUUUUCAACCUCUAGGAAAUUCAUGUUCAGGUCACUUUUAGGGGCUAUAACAAGGAGAAUGAGUCUUGAUGAUUUCUCUGCUUGAGUAUGACAACCUCCCCUUUUAGCGUUAGGAUUUAAGAGACAAGAGAAUGGCAGUAUCACCAUAUAUAUUACUGACUAAACAAAGAAGGUGAAUUUGUAGCUGAAGGACUACUUUCAGGUUUCUAAAUGGAGGCAGGAGAAUUUUUAUUUUCUGCUAUGCACUGCCUCAACAACUGUAUCGCUCUCCCUUCCCUGCAUGAACUCAGACCGACACAAACUUAUUUCUCAUUUGUGCUUUUCCAGGCAAUUAUUAUUGUUGCAUAUAAAAUGAAUGUUAAACAUGUUUUCCUUUGCCUAUAAUCUGUCCCUCAUGAAAAAAAAAAGAUGUAUGUGUCUUUAAUGCUACUGAAAAAAUGCCACUAAAUGUCUUUUUGGUAGUUCCUCUCUGUCAAUUAAAAUCUCGACUUCGGGAAGCUGAGUUUGCAGUGAUCAUUUUAGAGAAGGCAAUUCUGAAUUUAGCUCAGAACUGCACACAAGAGAAUGGAUUGGGUGAGCCCUAGGAAAUGAUUUAGAAAAAUCUUUUUUUUUUUCAAUUAAAAAAAGUGUGGCAGUACUAGAGGCCAAAGAUGCAC